GUUUUGAUAGUUUAAGGUAAAACAUUGGUCUUGUAAAUCAAAAUUGAAAAUAUUUUUCUCAAAACA
rnacentral:tRNA from 1 species